rfam:Paenibacillus ferrarius strain CY1 CY1_scaffold56, whole genome shotgun sequence.
AAACACGGCAGACUGUAAAUCUGCUCUCUCCGAGUUCGGUGGUUCGAAUCCAUCAGCCUCCA